ACGAGGGAACGCCACGGAGGCAGGCCGGAGCCGCUGCCGUCGCCAGGGCCGGCGGUAGCCAGCGUGAGCUCGCCCGCCAGAAUAUGAAAAAGCAGAGCGACUGGGCUAAGGGAAAACGCCGUGAUGAAGGGCUUUCCGCUGCCGCCCGCAAGCAGAGGGACUCGAGAUCAUGCAGCAGAAGCAGAAAAAGGCAAACGAGAAGAAGGAGGAGCCCAAGCAGCUUUGUGGUUUCCUGUCCAACCCUCUUGCCUGUGUGCCUGGAGCCAGUCCCACCACGCUCGCGUUUCCUCCUGUAGUGCUCACAGGUCCCAGCACCCAUGGCAUUCCCUUUGCCCUGAGUCUGCAGAGGGUCCCUUUCGUGCUUCCUUCCCCUCAGGUAGCCUCUCUCCCCCUGGGCCACUCCUGGGGGUGAGGGGGUUACCCCUUCCCAGUGUUUUUUAUUUUUGUGGGGCUCACCCCAAAGUAUUAAAGGUAGCUUUGUAA